CCUACGGGGGGCAGCAGUGAGGAAUAUUGGUCAAUGGACGAGAGUCUGAACCAGCCAAGUAGCGUGAAGGAUGACUGCCCUAUGGGUUGUAAACUUCUUUUAUAUGGGAAUAAAAUGUUCCACGUGUGGGAUUUUGUAUGUACCAUAUGAAUAAGGAUCGGCUAACUCCGUGCCAGCAGCCGCGGUAAUACGGAGGAUCCGAGCGUUAUCCGGAUUUAUUGGGUUUAAAGGGAGCGUAGGUGGAUUGAUAAGUCAGUUGUGAAAGUUUGCGGCUUAACCGUAAAAUUGCAGUUGAAACUGGCAGUCUUGAGUACAGUAGAGGUGGGCGGAAUUCGUGGUGUAGCGGUGAAAUGCUUAGAUAUCACGAAGAACUCCGAUUGCGAAGGCAGUUCACUGGACUGCAACUGACACUGAGGCUCGAAAGUGUGGGUAUCAAACAGGAUUAGAUACCCGGGUAGUC
rnacentral:rRNA from 1 species